CUUUUGUUAAAAAAAAAAUGAUAAAAUUAUUUAAGCCUGCAACUGGGCAUAAGGAGGUUUCGGCCUACGAAUUGGGUUUACUGGGUGAGUUCCAGAUUUCCAGUGAAACCGGGAAAAUGUUGCGCAACGGCAUCAUUCCUCAGUUUCCCUUCCGUGUCCUCUUCUUCCUUUUCCACAUCAAGCUUAGCAAUCUCCACAAAAGGCUUCAUACUCUCUGCGCUUAGUUCCCUCCAUAAAACCCCAAAACCAAAACCCUUCAAAAAUUUUCAAUCUACAGGUCUUAAUUGGCCGCCUAUUUCUCAAUCAUCGCUACCAAGAUGAUACUUAGAAUCCGUAGCAGAGAUGGCGUCGAGCGCGUCUCCAUCGACAGCCCCAACAUUACCGUUUCCCAGCUCAAAAGUCUAAUUCAAAAGCAGCUUCAAAUCCCAAUCCAUAACCAAACCCUAUCUACAAAUCAAAACAUACUGUUGGUUAAAUCCCCUUUGGAUCUUCUCAAAUUCACCGAUAUGUCUGACCCCAAUACCCUUAUUUCUUCCCUAAACAUUGCCCAUGGCUCUAUUGUCUUCUUAGCCUAUGAGGGUGAGAGAACCAUUACAGGACCCACCAUUCAUCCCGCUGGGUCCUUCGGCCGCAAAAUGACCAUGGACGACCUAAUUGCCGGAC
rnacentral:misc_RNA from 1 species